CGCCGGCAGCCGGAACCCGACGGGCUGGGCCCUGGGCUGGAGCUGGCGCUGCCUCCGUCGAUCUGAGGUGCCCUCGGAAUAGGUGUCCUUGCUUGGUUCCUUUAAAAAAAGAAAAAAGAAGGAAAAAGAAAAUGAAAACUUCAAAUGAUCUUGCACAGUGCUGGUCAUAACAGUUCUGCUUCCCCAAGGAUGAACUUCCAACUGUAUUCUCAAAAUCUUAGCACAGCAGAAGUUUGGUAUACUAGACCUUUUCUAAAAGGAAGAUAUUGGAUAUCAGGUUGCAUUCUCAUGGUGUGCAUACCCACUAAACUCUUGGUGCAUGGAACACAGAGACAGUAUACUCAUCAGUAUAGUGAUGGGCUAAUCCACUGUUGAAUUCAUACCAGAAUGUGCUGUUGAGUGGUGGCCUGAUGAGAAGAGAAAGAAGAGAUGAGUGACUGGAGGUGUGACCUGGAAAGGUAUAUCUUCCUCCCUGGCUGUUCUCCUCAUAUUGUUUCCUGGCCACUGUGACAUGAGCAGCUUUCCUUCACCAGACCCUUCCAUCAUGCCAUUUCUGCCUUGCAGCCAGCCAACUAUGGACUGAAAAUGUGAACCAAAUGAACCUCACAUAAUUUAAAUUGUACAUGUUGGAUAUUUUGUCCACUUUUCCAAUGAGGAAAGUGACUAAGACAGAUUUUGGAAACAGAAAAGCAGAGUCAUUGCCAUAACUAUACCUGACCAUGUGGUUCCAAAGCCUUUGGAAAUUGUUCAUGAGAAGAGUUUGGAAAGAUUUGGUGAUGCCAGCUAGAGAACCUCUAGAAUGAUACAAGUCAAGCUUGAUGGGAGAUUCUAGUUGGAGCUCAGAAGACUAGAAUCCUGCUAGAAAUGCAGAUGGUAAAGGCCAGGCUGAGGAAGUUUCAUUGGGAACAAGGACUCCAUUGACAGUUGGGCUGCAGACCAUGUAUGCUAUGCUCUGGCAGAAAAUGUGUCUACAUAAACUGAGACUACAGAAGACUGAGACUAAGGGCAUUGGACUAAUUAAUCUAGUAGAGGAAAUUUCAAGGCAGUUCAAUAUUGAGGGUGUGGCAUAGGUACUGCUGGCUUCUUCUGGUCAUAUCUACGGUAAAAAUCUGGAGCAAAUAUUAGAGCCAAAAGAUGUUAAAAUGUACAGUUUCAUCAGAAAGGAAGUACCUACAAAGUCAGGGCCUUGGGGAGCAAAAUUGCCAAAAAGAUUAGCAUUAAAAAGUGCCAGAAGGGGCCAGGGACUCAGCUCAGUGGCACUGCACCUGCCUUGCAAGCAUAAAGUCCUGAAUUUGAUCCCGGGUACCAGAAAAAAAAAGCACCAGGAGUGGUGCCCCAUUCCUGUAAUCCCAGCACUUGGGAAGCAGAGACAGGAGGAUCACUGUGAGUUUGAGACUAGCCUGGGCUGCAUAGUUCAGACCCAGCCUGAACUACAAAGCAAGACCCUAUCUCAAAAAAGAAAAACAAAAAAAACCCUCCAGGUACUUCGCAUCAGGGGAAUAGAAAAGAUCCCUUAUGAGCAUGUCAGGUAUCAGCAAGACAUCACUGGCUCAAGGAUGUGAAAGGGUAAAGGUAAAUUUCUUUGAAAGUCCUUGCUUUGAGAAGAGAACUCUAAAGUACCUGCUCAAUAAGGGCUGCAUAGGGAUUAGUUCCCUGGAAUUUGGUUCCCAGACCUCAGCCAUCUAAACUGGGGGAGGCCUUUGCAGUCAUUAUCCAAGGAAACCCAGCUCCUGCUCAAGCUGGUGGCAGAACGUGGCGUUAUCUACCUGGUGCUGGUUUAAUAGGAAGAUCGAAUGCAAGAAUUGUGGGGUCAGGGAGGCUUUCACCCUAAUUUCAGGAAAAACCCUGGGAGGCCAGGAAGUGUGGCUCUCAGAGGGCAGUGCACGUGUGAGUAAAGCAGAACGCAGAGUGGAGAGCAUAGUAAGUUGGAAAAGCCAGAAAUAUGGAAGGUCUUCUGAGGAUAGUCACAAUCACUGAGCAGAACCACCCCAAAAGAGAGGCUGUGAAGGCUGCAACCAGCAAUGGCAUAGGGGCAGGACCAUCCACGCUAUUUGGAACUCAAAUCUUGCCGCAACUUGCCAUGGGUGCAGGACAUGGAACUACAGGACUUAAUGCUUGUUUUACUGGUUUUCGGUCUUGCUUUGGUCCCAUUUCUUUCUAUCCCAUUUCUCUCUUUUGGAAUGGGAAUGUUUACCCUAUGCCAUUUGAUAUUGGGGUUAAAUUUCUUUGUGAUUUUUAUAAGGCCUCACAGAUUAGAGUUUGCCUUGCAUCUCAGAGGAGACUUUGGACUUGAAUUUUUCAGCACUGCUAAAAUUGUUAAAACUUUGGUGACUCUUAGAGAUGGAUUUAUGCAUUUUGCAGAAUGAGGUGGACAUGAGCCUUCUGGGAACCAAGAACAGAAUGUUAUGGUUUAGAGCUAGAAUGGUUUAGAGCUAUGUGUUUGGAAGGUGAUUGGAUCAUUAUGGCACUAUACUCAUUAGGGGAUGAAUCCACACCUGAAUGUGCUAUUAAGAGAUGUGCCUGGUUGGAACAGGCAGGUUACUGGGGCAGGACCUAGAGGAAUACAUUUACCUCUCUGUUUCUCCCUUCUCUCUCUGCUUCCUGACUACUAUGGUGUGAUCAGCUUUCUUCUACUGGACUCUUCCACCAUGCCAUUUCUGCCUUGGAUCCAGCCAACUAUGAAAUGAAAAUAUGAGCCAAAAUAAACAUUUCCUCCUUUAA